rnacentral:lncRNA from 10 species
GUGAUCUCAGCUGUGCAACCUCCGCCUCCCAGUUUCAAGCGAUUCUCCUGCCUCAGCCUCCCGAGUACCUUGGACUAUAUGCACGUGCUGCCACCAUGCCAGGUACAGCCUGUCACGGCUUCCCUUGGCUAGGAAAGGGAAAUCCCCUGACCACUUGUGCUUCCCAGGUGAGGCGAUGCCCCACCCUGCUUCGGCUCACCCUCCAUGGGCUGCACCCACUGUCCAACCAGUCCCAAUGAGAAGAACCAGGUACCUCAGUUGGAAAAGCAGAAAUCACCCGUCUUCUGCGUCUAUCAUGCUGGGAGCUGCACACCGGAGCUGUUCCUAUUCAGCCAUCUUAGACGAAGAGUGUUAGUUUCAAAUUAUAAAACACAUGCAUACACAAUUGAGUUUAUUAUUUUUAUAAUCAAGUGUUAAUUGGCUCUAAUUAUUUAUUUGAAUUAUUUUCCUAUGUGCCCCUUUUCAUCACAUAUUGUUUUCUUCUCCUUACUUGUGAGUUUAUUUUUCCUACUAGUAAACUACAUGCUUUAAAAAUGUUUGCAUUGAGAACAUAAUUCUCUUAGCCUUUGUAUACUUACAAUAUUUUAAUUUUAUUCUCACUCUUAAAUAAUAUGGAGAAUUCUAGGUUAACAGUUAUUUUCCAAUAACAGUCAGAAGAUGUAAUUUCAUUGUCUUUUGGCAUCUAGUACUGCUUAUGAGAAAAUUUUUAG